rnacentral:lncRNA from 1 species
GUGUCUAUGUGGGCCUAUUGAGGGAAUGGUAGUUACUUGAAGGUUCACAUAUGUAAGCGUGUGGACCCAGCACAGUCUGUGACCUGAUUCCAGAUCCUCAAGAGUGGAGAAGGAAAGAAAUAUGAUGAUUUCCUAUGCUUGACCCUAACCCAACCCCAAAACUGCUAGGGAUUCAACAGUGAGUAAGAUGUAUGCAAUAAGAGAACAGAUAACUUCUCAACAAUGUGCAUGCCGUUUGUGUAGAUGUUCAGAACUACAUAUGUGUGAAUAUCACUCCCACCUUACACACGCACACACACUGCAAUCACAUGGCAUUAAAAAAUAUAUUGUGUAUGGAACUUGGCGAGGUCAGUCAGGACCUGGAGCUGUAAUCAUAGCCUUAUUGCCACUUCUUGCGUUGUGUAUACAUUGAAUGGCUCAUAGAUUUUAAGAGAUUUUUUUAUUGUAAGUAUUUCUACUAAAUGCACUUAUCCUUCUAUAUGUUUAUAUAUUUUGGUAAAAUUGAUUUAUCAGAUACUUGGUAUUUUAGUAAGAAAAUUUCCUCAAAUAUUUGGCUAAUGCUUUGAUGUCAAGAUUGCAUAUUGCUGAGUUGGAGCUCAGAAGAAAUGUAUGCAGCUAAAAAUUGCACUGUGUGUUCUUGUGAAUUUGCUCACAAUUCUAAAAUGACAUAAUUGGUGGCUGUGAUGCUUACAGUCACUGCCUACUGGCUCUCUUAUGAUGAAUGUUGCCAUCAUAUGAUCAUUUAUUUACUUUUUGUGCAAGCAAUGGCAUUUUGGUUGUUGCCAAAAACAACACAAGUGGUUGGGAGUGUAUGUUGUUGGAAGGUGUACACUUCUGUUUCUUUCAGCUGUAUUAUUUAUACACCCAGGUUUUCUGUUAAGGAUGUAAUCAUUCAUUCAAGAAAGAACAAUUGGCAAGAAAUAAUUAAAUUACCUUAAAAAGAAUUAAGAGGCACUCCAGCCAGAUAACACCUCCCAACAACAUGAAAUUUAGUUAGUGCUUAGUGAAAUUCCUUAAAUAUAUAUGUAUAUGUUUUCUUCAACAUUAUUUAAUAUAACUACUGCUUUUAUAUUUUUUAAUGGUGUUGCAACCACUUGUACACCUGCUACACCUUACUGACAAAACUGGGCAGCUGAAAAUAAAAGAGAAUAAAUUCUAUUCCACUGUAAGAAGUUGAUUUCUUUUCAGCUUUCUUUGUAUAUCAGUAAAGAACACGAAUUGUUUGAAAAUAAUUUUAAGUCUGAUAAGUAUGGAUAGCAUGUUACCUAAGCUUUUAAUUUGUACAUUUUGAUGUCUGAUCAUUUGCAUGGAAGAGACAAUAGUGCCACGUCUGAAUUGUUCUCUUGUGCUUGGUUAAUAUGUACUUCUCUAGAUUGUUCAAAAAGUUUCAAAUGACAUUCCUUACUCUUUGGUUUUCAGAGGCAUUCAAGCAAAAUAUCACAGUGGUCUUUUGUUUUCUGACCAAUCUAACAAUACCUGUGAUUAAAUUUAAUUUGUUAGUGUAAAUAAAUUUCUUGCCAAUGAGUAUUAUUGUUGUUAGACAACGAAUGCAAUAAAAAGAAAUACUGAGGUCUGUUGAAGCAA